CCAGCCUGAUAGGAAGAGGGAGAGUUUCAUCUAAUGAGGCCAAGGCCCCAGGGGAAAAAAUUAACAAAGGGCCCCAUAUUGUUAAAUCAACUUGCUUGAACUUCUAAAAGUAGAAACAAAAUAUUUUACCCAUCUAAUUUGAACAUUUUGAACCAUAUUUCUUGCUACAAACACAAAAACUUAGAACAAUGUAAUUCAGUUAUCUACUAUAACAUAUAAGGGAGAUGUUCAAAAUGAGAAAUAGAAACAAGAGAACAGGAAAAGAAGAGAUAUGGACCUGGGAAAGUCCAGAUAUGAGUAAGAAAAGAGCAACAGCACAGGAGGCAGUGUAUUUCAGAAAAAUAUUGCUACAGAAGGUCGAUAAAGUCAUGUUGCAUUUUUACAUUAACAAGGUCUUUAUUUCUUAUUUCCUGGCCUGUGAACUUCAUGAGCUAAGUACUAACUAGCCCAUCCUAUGAACUAAGGAUCAUGGUACUUCUUCCUUACUGCAUUUAGAUCUUCCCUUUCCAUAAGCCCAACUGUCCUGGGAAAAUGGAGAGUGAAGUAAGUCAAAGGGAGAGUCUUCUGAGCCCAUGGGAGAAAGGAAAGGGUCCUGGGAGCACGGGCGCGUCUGCCUCCUCAGAUUUGCACUAGAACCCAGUAGAUCAGGGAAAGCUUCCUCUCUAGAGUUUGCCAUCAAGCAUAUUAACAAAGGUUUCUGCAUUAGUUCACUGUUCAUUUGUGAUAGUUGGAGGGGUAUCCAGAAACCUGUUAACGGAAAGAGCAACCACCUGCCACCCCCAUUUAGGAGCUUCUCCCGGGCACUGUGAGGACAGAUGCUACUCCAGUGUGGCUUUUUCUUUUUCCUAGGUCAUUCUGACUAGGGAUUCUUGUGCCUGAAGUUUAGAGAAGCCCUCUUCCCACAACUCCAGGUAGGGAG
rnacentral:lncRNA from 1 species